UGUUGUAAGAGGUCACGUCUAAAGGGGUGUUGAGCUCUGGUAGAGGCAAGGAGUUGAUUGCUCUCUUGCCUUGUCUUCCCACUUAUUCAGACUGUGGACCUCUGUGUGGAAUCAAAUCCUGAGUACUCCUUGUCUUCAAUUCGAACGACUAGCACUUGGCGAAAUAAUGGAAAGGUCUCUCUUGGAUGACUACACCUGAAGUCCAGAUUAUCUAUUGUCAGCCAGACAUUCGUCAACUCUGCCUCUUCUCUGUUUUCCACAUGGCCCUUUCUUGUCUGGCUUUGGAAAGAAGAUGCCUUAUACCAGAGAAAGACUGACCUUCACUACUGAGAUAAAGAGGAUCCUGUUGGGGAAGCCCUUUCUGCAGAUCCUGAUGCCUUCCAGCACACCAUUACAGCGCAGCUGGUGCAUCACCAGAGGGUUCUCCAUGGCCCCAGGAGUCUUGGUCUCAUUGGGGAUGAUGCAGCGUACAAAGUGAGGGUGAGUAGACCUCAAGUUGGUCAUCAGCUUGUUCAGGUUCUCCUGAGGAGGUAAUUUAACCCUGUGGUUAACACUCAGUUUAGGUUAUUGAUGUGUUGCAUAUCUCUGUUAUCAAUGUAACAUUAAGUCUCAUUCAUUGUUUUUCAUAUGAAUAGCCAUUCAGACAUUUAUGUUUACUAACCCUGUGCAAGGCAGACACUGUUUGGAAGGAUGCACCCUUCUUUUUGCUUCCUCCUCCUUUGCCGCCCUUUCCACCUUCAGCUACUGUAAUAAGCCAGUGUACAACGCAUUAGAAUGUAUUAACAAACCCAGUUCUCUUGCAGUUCCCACUAUGGCAAAUGCAUUACAUUCAGGGGCAAAUUCAUCAUAGGAUUGUGCAGCUUUUGCAGCUGCUUAAGCUGAAUGUAUGUGUUUGAAAACACCAACAGUACUGAUAGAAUCCCAAAUACUGUUUCUUUCUGUCAUGGAUUAAAUUCCUUGCCUGAAUCAUACCCAUGAUUUAGGCUUAUGCAAUGGCAAUAGGCUUAUGCAGUGUGCAAAGAAAUCAUCUCUAACUCAAAAACUAAAUUAACAAUAUAAUCACUUUAAUAACUUUAACUCUUUUUACUUGAGAUGGGGCAAUAGUGGUUGCAAGUGAUGAGCAAUUCGGUGUUCUAUUAGCGGCUUCAAUCCAUUCUUUUUGAAUUUGCCCUUCCGUUUAUUCUUACCUGCAUCUGAUCCAGCAUAAUUUGCAAAGAGGACAGAUAACAGUUUGAGAUUAGACUUCUGGUACAGUCCUACAACGGUUUCAUUCAGAGGAUCCUUGUUCUUCACCAGCCAGUUGUUGAUAUUAUAAUCAACAGUUCCAGCAUAAUGCAUCAGGGCAAAAUGGGCCUCUGGUCUUCCUUUGAUAGCUCUGGGCUUCUGAAAGUUGGCGGAUUUCCCCAGAUGGUUAUCAUAGAGCUUAGUUUUAAAGGUGGUAUCAGAGGCUUUGGGGAACAUGCACUCCUCUUCAAGGAUGGACAUGAUACCCAUGGGCUGAAGGGACAAAAAUAUGAGGGUUAUGAACAUUUUCAAUCAAUCUUUAUGUAUGGCUGAACAUACAGAAGUCCAUUUCUCACCUUUUCAAUCAGGUCAAUGCAGGCCUGCAAGUCCAUACCAAAAUCUAUGAAUGUCCAUUCAAUGCCCUCUUUCUUGUACUCUUCCUGCUCCAGCACAAACAUGUGGUGGUUGAAAAACUGUUGCAGUUUUUCAUUGGUGAAGUUGAUGCACAGCUGCUCAAAGGUGUUGAACUGUAAUGAAAAAGUCCACAGUAUGACAGGCUUAAUACUUUCUCCUUAAACUACUACUACUAUCUAGACUACUUCAUAUAGAGUAUGUGUUUUUUUCAAACUCACAUCAAAGAUCUCAAAUCCAGCAAUGUCCAGUACACCAAUGAAAUACUGGCGAGGCUGCUUGGUGUCCAGGGAUUGAUUAAUUCUCACCACCAUCCACAGAAACAUCCUCUCAUACACUGAUUUAGACAGUGCACUAACAGCAUAGUUCACCUAAAAAGGAAAUAUACAUAAAACACCUUAGUAAAGUUUCUGGACUUUAUUUUGGAAUUUAAUAAACAUAUUAUUCAUAUUAUCUUACCUGGGCGACAUUUUGUCCCUUGGUGACCCACUCAUUUCCUACUUUGACUCUUGGGUGACAGAGACCUUUGAUGAGGUCAGCAGAGUUCAGGCCCAUCAGAUAUGCAACUUUGUCAGCAACUGUUGAGGCAUUGAGGUAUUUGGAUUAAUUAAUCAAGGUUUUCACUGCUUUUCAAGGUUUUUGUCAUUCUUUUAUCCCUGAUUCCUUUAGAAUAGAAUAGAAUGCCUUUAUUUCCAUUGUACUGUAACAUUAGAAAUGUACAACGAAAUUCAGAAUGCUACUCCUACUGGGUGCCACUAGUUAAAGAAAAAAAAAUGAUGAGUUCUUUGGGGUUUUUUGUGUUUAGCACCCUUUGCUGUAAUUUGUUUAAAAAAAAACAUUUGUCACCUUCAGUGCCAUCAGCCUCUGCCUGCUCUUCACGUUGCUUGGUCUUGAAUUUCAUAUUUCCAUGAUGCAUGAUGGCACCAGUCAGCUUGUAAAUGCCGUUCUUCUCCUCUUGGGUAAAGCCCAGCACAUCAAAGGCUUCCUGAAAAAAACAUAAGAUCAAAAAUGCAUUUCUGGCAGAGUAAAAGUUUAUUUAAAAAUUCAUUUUGGAUUGGCAUUUGAAGAUUCAGCUCACAUCGGUGGCCAUCAGCUCCUCAGAAUCAUUGAUAGAGGCUACCGUUGUCUCUCCUUGGGAGAUGAAGGCGUAGUCGUAAGGGUUGUUGGUUAUAAGCAACAUGUCUGAGGAGGAAAAGAAAAAAAUGUGCUGUAAAAUAUCUAACUGUAUUAAGAUCCAGUCAUAACUCACUUUUGAAGUAUUUUAUCAGAUUUAUACCCAGAAGUUCCGGCUUUGCCUGAGACAAGAUCUGGUAGAAAAUGUGGUAGUCCCUCUCAGCUUUGAGCUGGUAGGUCACACGAGACUUUUCCAAAAGGUCUGUUCAAGAAAACAAUUGUUAUUGUACUACACUGAUAAGUUGGUAGGUAAUACAUUUAAAUGUGUUACAUAAACCAUGUUACUUACAAGUUUCAAUAUCAGCAGAGGCCAGCUUCCCACGGUUAUCAAAAUGAAUGCGGAUAAAUUUACCCUAAGAGGAAGCAAGCCGCUCAUUUUAGUCCUGUUAAGUCAAUCACUUCAAUUUAAAAAUUACCAUUUGCAACCACACAGACACUCACAAAUCUAGAGGAGUUGUCAUUCCUGAUGGUUUUGGCAUUCCCGAAGGCCUCCAGAGCAGGGUUAGCCUGGAUGAUUUGAUCCUCCAGGGUACCCUAAUUUUGUCAAAUAAAGACACACCUUCAGGUUCCGUGCCAAGUAAAAUUGCAAAAUGUGUUUCAGCUAUUAGAAAUUAUUUUUAAUUGAAGUGUGAUUGUGCUUUACAACUGAUACUUUGUGAAAUAUUCAGAAGUAUAUUUUGUAGUACAGACCUUCUUUUCAGCUGCCAGAUCUUUCUUCGCACUCGGGGCAGCAGCGAUGCUGGCAAAGUACUGAAUGACACGCUUGGUGUUCACAGUCUUUCCAGCACCGGAUUCUCCACUGAGUUGAAGAGAGACAGAAGGUUUUAGACCAAGACCUAUGACCCUUAACUACUUAAGGGAUUUUUUUUGGCUGUGUGACUUACGUGAUAAGGAUUGACUGGUUUUCUCUGUCUGUCAGCAAGAGAGAUUUUCAAGUAUUAGUAAAACAUAAAAUGACGUCAGCAUUGAAUACUUAAAGAAAAUGAGGCUAAAAUAGAAUAUUUACCUGACAGCAUGUACUGGUACGCAUUGUCAGAGAUGGAGAAAAUAUGGGGAGGAGCUUCAGACCUCUUCUUUCCUCUAUAGGCAACAACCACCUCUUGGUUGUAGACUGGCAGCCACUUGUAGGGGUUGACAGUCACACAGAAGAGCCCAGAGUAGGUCUGUUGUAGUAAGCGAAAGGCAACAGAUAAUAAAAUGAUAAGAUAUGUGUUACCUUGUCAUAACGAUGUUGCUUAUUAAACAAUGCUUUAUCAAUGGGUAGGUUAGGUUUUAUGUUAUGCUUUAUUGUCUUACAUAGAUCAUCCAUGCUGCAUAACGCUCUUUGAGGUUAAACAGCACAGCGGGCUCAUGGAGGAAGGUGAACAUCGCCAUGUCUUCAAUUUUAUCAAACUUUGGCGGGUUUUGAGGGUGUACAUCACACUCCUUCACUGUCACAGUCUGCAGAAAAAAAUUAUAUAUUUCACAGUCACACUGACCAAAAAUAACCAAAUGUCUCUCUCUAGAAAUAUGUUAUUCAGCUAAAUUGAAUCUACCUUUCCAAAUUCCGUUUCAGCGGUGACUUUGUCACCAUCCCGACUGAUGAUGGAAGCUUUGACGAACUCAAACUCAGGGUCAGGAACAAAGCACUCCUUCUUCAUGUCAAAUAUACGAGUCUGGGCCUCCAAACGCUCCCUGUCUGACUUUCUCAGAAAAGGAGCAGCCGGCCCAAAAUCUCUCAUGGCAGCAUCACCCAUUUUCAACCUGUUACAGAUUUGUUACAGAUGUUGUAUUAAGAUUAACAUAAAGCAGCACUCAGAAUUAUUUUAGAAUGUGUACAAUAGGACUUGUGUCACAUUUCAUGCUAUACGUUAGCCAUCAGCAUACCACACGUGCAAUAAUGACAAGGUAGAUAGUUGUAUUUCUUUAGUAUGCAAAUCACCUUGAGCUCUUAAUCAAGUAUUCAUUUAAUU